ACAAAAAAAAAUUAUAUAUAUAUUUAUAUUAUUUCAAUUUCAUAUCAAUAGCAAAACAACCAAUAUCAUUACAGAGAACACAACAAAAUACACCACAUCUCGAAUAUUUUAAACAGUUCUACCACUAAAAAGCCAGUUAAAUAUACUCGUACUACACAAUAUGAUAUUGUAUAUUUUAUGCACUUACAUAAAAUUUAAAAAGCAACAGAUGUAGUGUCUUCGCAUUCCUCCUUAAUCACGUCAUUUGUGAUUGUUUAACAUAAUUGUCCCUAUUAUUAAGAAAAAACAUAGAAUCAUUCUCGUAAUCUAUAAUGAGAAUAGAAUAAGGGGUGACCACGAUAAUAUUUGAAUAGAAUAAUCCAAAAAACUUUUAAGAAAGUAAAUGGAUCAUUCGUCAGCACUCUACAUGACCUUAUCUUCCACAUAGAAAGAAACUCAUACAAAUAUAAAUUGCGUAAAAUGAUAAGAGUAUACCGUUUUAGCUUAUAAAAGAACAUCAUAUAAGUGACUAAGUGGGCGACAACAACAAUAAUGUUGUCUCAGAUAGAGAAGAACACACUUAGAUUUACUUAAGCUCCCUUUAAGUUAGUGAGUUAAUAAAGAGCUCAAAGAAAAUUAGUAUGAAAUAGUAUUUCAUUAUUUUUUUAAAAGUCACAGAGCAAAACAACAACAAUUAUAAAGUUGUAUAAACUGCAUAAAAAUAGAUAUAGUUCUUCACAAACUUAAAAGUUUUGUUACGCAAGGACACAAAUAAGAAUUCUUUUGAAUCUUGUGGUGAUGAACUAAAUAUGUGUAAUGUACUAAAAUUCCUUUUGAAUUUCAUGGUCUUAAAUAUACCGUGUACGAUAUUAGGUGUAAAGAAUGACUGAAUGAAGAAAGGCAUUAUUUUUUAAACAGAUCUAAGCAAGAUAAACAAAUUGACAUGGAGGGAGUCUUAUUUAUUGUCCACCUAUCUAUAGAUACCACCAUAGCACAAAUAGGUAGUAUUUAUAGUCCAACUAGUUAUGUAGAUACCACCAUAAGACACUCUUUCAAACUUACAUUCUGCAAUUCAUGAUACAAAGAAUUUGUCCAAACAGAGCGGAAAAGUGUUACUGGAACAAGAAAUUAAACUUCCUACAUGUUGCACUUCAUUAAGGUAAUUGCGAGCAUGAUCAAAUGCAGCAGGGCAUGAAACUACAACAAUUAUAAAGUUGUAUAACCUGCGUACAAAAGAUGUAGUUCUUCGCAACCAUAAAAGUUUUGUUAUGCAAGGAAACAUAUCUCACAUUAUUUUCCUUAUUAUAAUAUCUACUUAACAUAUAGUAUUUUAAAUAAUCUCAACAAACUUCUAUUUUAGAGAGAUAUACAAGAAUGUAUCACUAUACUCCUACAACUACCUAAUUCAACAAAUGGAGCUAUCUAGCCAGAUUUAAAAGUAGAAAGUGUAGUUUCAAUUAUCAAAAUUAUAAGUGAAGCAUGGGACUUGAAAUGAAAAAAUAGCAUGUUCCCAAUUAAUUCAUUAGUCUAUAAGUAUAUCACAAAAAAAGGAAAGAUAGGAUACAAAACAAUCUAGCCAAAGAGAAAUAACACAAUAAAAGGAAGGCAGCAUCUCACACAGAAACAAUUUGCGAAUUGACAACUAGUUUUAAAACUCCCUAGAUUCUCAAAAAUUGAAAUGAUAGUGUUUGAUAGUGUAAUACUAACUGGACUGAAAGAACCAAAAAGUUGCAUACCACAACUCAAAAGAGCUCCUGCAAUAGCUAAACAAAAGAAUCAACCAAGUAGUUGUCCAAUUCCACUGAAAUCAUAAGAUAAAAUUAAUAUAACUCAUAGAGUUAAAGCAAAUAGACUAAAAUUGUGUAUUAUAUUAAAUAGGUAUAUCAAACUUUCUAAACAUUUUUGUACAAGUGCUUAGUUGUAAAAAACUUUUUUUUAUCAAAAUUUCACCUUUCACUGCCCUCAAUACAUAAAACUAUCCAAAAUUUCAAACUUUCACUGCUUUUAAUUGUUUAUUCUUUUUCUAGUACUCUCUCAUUUUCAUUCAUAGACCUCAAAUCUUAGUAUCAAACAAUUUUUUUAAAUAGUAUAUCUUCAAUAAAUCUCACCCUACUUGUAUUGCUAAUUAAUGGUCUCUAACCACAAAAGUCUAUUUCCAAAUAAUUGGACUUGGUGCUAAAAUAAUAUCUAACUUAAGGUGAUUCUUAUGCUUUGAAUAUAAGGAAAUUAGGUUCAUUUACGUACAGAGCCAACAAUAAAUUUCACCUUCAAUGUUACUCUCUGUUUGAUUUAAGAACUUCAAAUAUAGAGACUAAUAAUCGAAAUCACAUGUUCAACCAACAAAAAUCAAGUUUUGAACUAGUCUCAAUUCAUUUAUGGCUUGUAUAGAUGAAAAAAGACAGAACUUACAUGAAGACGAGGAAGACAAAUGAGUAGUGGCAAUCGAUGGCAACAAGCGUGAUGCCAACAGUGGACGCUCCAGGCAACCUUUCGAUCACUCUCGCGUCUCAACUCUUAAUCUCAAUCUCAAUCUCUCUCGCUUCUCAACUCUCAAUCUCUCAGCAGAACCUUUAAUUAAAAACCCUAGACCCCCAAUAAACAAAUACAAUGUUUAAGUUAUAAAUUAAUGAAUGGUUC
rnacentral:lncRNA from 1 species